GAUGAACGCUGGCGGCGUGCCUAAUACAUGCAAGUCGAGCGAAAAGACGAGGAUCUUGCUCCUCUGACGUUAGCGGCGCACGGGUGAGUAACACGUGGAUAACCUACCUAUAAGUCUGGUAUAACUUGGGGAAACGGGAUCUAAUAGCAGAUAAUAUAUUGAACCGCGUGGGUCGAUAGUGAAAUACGGUGUUUCUGUCUCUUAUCGAUGGAUACGCGCCGGAUUAGGUGGUUGGGAAGGUAACGGCUUAGGAAGGGAACGAUGCGUAGCCGAAGUGAGAGGCUGAUCGGCGACCCGGGAACUUGGACACGCACCAGACUCCUACGGGAGGCAGCAGUAGGGAAUCUUCCGCAACAGGCGAGAGCAUGACGGAGCAACGCCGAGUGAGUGACGAAGAUGUUCGGAUCGUAAAGCUCUGUUAUUAGGGAAGAACAAAUGUGUAAGUAACUAUGGACGUCUUGACGGUACCUAAUAAGAAAGCCACGGCUAACUACGUG
rnacentral:rRNA from 1 species